GGUGCUAGUUCAGUGGUUAAAAUGUUGGAUUCGAGCUCAGAAGGUCAUGAGAUCAAAUCCCAGCACCA